rnacentral:rRNA from 1 species
UACGUAGGGUGCGAGCGUUGUCCGGAAUUAUUGGGCGUAAAGCGCACGUAGGCGGCUUUGUAAGUUAGAGGUGAAAAGCCCGGAGCUCAACUCCGGAACUGCCUUUAAGACUGCAUCGCUUGAACGUCGGAGAGGUAAGUGGAAUUCCGAGUGUAGAGGUGAAAUUCGUAGAUAUUCGGAAGAACACCAGUGGCGAAGGCGACUUACUGGACGACUGUUGACGCUGAGGUGCGAAAGCGUGGGGAGCAAACAGG